AGGAUCAUUACCGAACUGUCGACACGAGUUGUUGCUGGUCCUCAGAUGGGGGCACGUGCACGCUCUGUUUGCACAUCCACUCACACCUGUGCACCCUCUGUAGCUCUGUGGCCUGGGGGCUCUGCCCUCUUGCCGUGGUUCUACGUCUUUACACACACACCGUAAUAAAGUCUUAUGGAAUGUAUGUCGCGUUUAACGCAAUACAAUACAACUUUCAGCAACGGAUCUCUUGGCUCUCGCAUCGAUGAAGAACGCAGCGAAAUGCGAUAAGUAAUGUGAAUUGCAGAAUUCAGUGAAUCAUCGAAUCUUUGAACGCACCUUGCGCCCUUUAGCUAUUCUGAAGGGCAUGCCUGUUUGAGUAUCGUGAACACCUCAACUCUCAUGGUUCGCCAUGAUGAGCUUGGACUCUGGGGGUCUUGCUGGCCUAUGGUCGGCUCCUCUCAAACAAAUCAGCUUGCCAGUGUUUGGUGGCAUCACGGGUGUGAUAACUAUCUACGCUUGUGGUUUCCCACCAAGGUAACCUUCAGUGAUGGGGGUUCGCUGGGGCUCAUAAAUGUCUCUCCUCAGUGAGGACAGCUUUUGAACGUUUGAUCUCAAAUCAGGCAGGACUACCCGCUGAACUUAAGCAUAUCAAUAAGCGGAGGAAAAGAAACUAACAAGGAUUCCCCUAGUAACUGCGAGUGAAGCGGGAAGAGCUCA
rnacentral:rRNA from 1 species